GGGAUAUAGCUCAGCUGGUAGAGCAUCUGGUUCGCAAUCAGAGGGUCACCGGUUCAAAUCCGGCUAUCUCC
rnacentral:tRNA from 1 species